UAUAAUAUAUAUUUGCUCUAUUUCUUUUUAAUAAUAACUUAUCUUCUCGAAUUAGUCAAAGAAGUGUUUAAAUAAUUAACAAUGAAGUUGUAAUCAUUUUUGUGGGCUACAUUUUAUAGUGGUAAAUAAUCUAGUAAAUUCGAAUUGGAGUCUUAUCGGAUUUGAAAUUCAAAUGUAUUGGCGGACAAAAAACGACGGGUUGACAGACAAGCUUGUAUAUUCCAAACAAAUAGAAGAAGUGAAUAUCAGAGAUUGUGAAAAUUAUGAUAAUUCAACAACUGUCGAAAGUUCAGAGGAGGAAGAUGAAAAUUAUUAAAAGGAAAAGAAGAAGAAAAACACACAAGAUUUUGUGACAGAUAGUGUGAAUGAUGAUAUCUCAGGUUGGAGACGGUAAAGGUUCAGAUUAUGAUAUACUUUAAAGUAUGCCCCAGAUUGCCAUAGUGUAGGUGGACGAAAGAAGAAUGCUAAUUAAGAUAUAUGAACAUUGCUAUUUGUAGUAAUAUCAAAAUAUUCACAAUAUUGUUCCAUUUAACAUUCAGAUAAAAAGUACAAAGAAAAAUAUACAAUCAGUGAGUUGGAUAGAUGAUCGGAAAAUCCCAACCUCAGGUUGAUCGGUUCAGUCGGAAAUAAGCCUUGGUGAUAUAAGAAAAACAUGCAUGAAUGUUAACCAUAAAAAAUGUCAGUGUUAAUGUUUAUGAAGAAUUUUGUAUAUCUAAAACAUGAUUAUUUAAUAUAUGAAGCGUUAUUUACGUACAUACUGUCAAGUUUAAUAGUUUCAUAAUACAUUAUGUUAAUGUUACAUUUGUUAUAGUACCGCAUUUAUUGUUUUGUACAUGUGAUUCGUAUUGCAAAUAAAUUGUUAAAAUUAUAAGAAUGC